CGCCUGCUUGCUGCGUGAGACUGAGUAACUGCUAGAUCCUUGGACUUCCAUUCACAGCUGCGACUGAACAAUUGUUGGGAAUUGGGCUGCCGCCUGUCUUAGAGGAAAGUGAGAGAUAUCAGCUAGUACUGAACUGCCAACCUGGAGAAAGGUGAAUAAGAGUCCACACUACAGAAAGAAUAAGGGCCAUGUUCUGUUGAAAAAAAGAAGUUAAAGGGCAACAAAGAAAUGUUACAUGGUAUGAUGCAUGAAGAGUCGGACACACAGUAACAACAUGGGAAAGCCUCAAAAAUACUGCUGCCAAGAGGGAGCAAGCGGGACGCAGUACUGACCCUGCUGAUAGGAAAUACCCAGACGGGAGUAACUCACAGAGCCGGAAAUGAGGAGCGUGGUUUGAUGAGCUUCUGUUUGCGAUGGAUGAAGAAACAUUGGAGCAAAGAGCUGCGGUGCCUAGAUAACGCUGUGGAUAUUUUCAGUUCUAUGAGCUUGCGCAUUUGCAUGAUUAAAAUGGAAAAAAUUGUCAUCUAUAUUUACCACGAUAAAAACAAUGAAUGGGAGAGCAAAG